AACGAACGCUGGCGGCAGGCUUAACACAUGCAAGUCGAACGGUUGUAGCAAUACAGCAGUGGCAGACGGGUGAGUAACACGUGGGAACCUUCCUAGGGGUACGGAACAACUCAGGGAAACUUGAGCUAAUACCGUAUACGUCCGUGAGGAGAAAGAUUUUAUCGCCCUUAGACGGGCCCGCGUCGGAUUAGCUAGUUGGUGGGGUAACGGCCUACCAAGGCGACGAUCCGUAGCUGAUCUUAGAGGAUGAUCAGCCACACUGGGACUGAGACACGGCCCAGACUCCUACGGGAGGCAGCAGUGGGGAAUCUUGGACAAUGGGCGCAAGCCUGGUCCAGCCAUGCCGCGUGAGUGAAGAAGGUCUUCGGAUUGUAAAGCUCUUUUGCCAGGGACGAUAAUGACGGUACCUGGAGAAUAAGCCCCGGCAAACUUCGUG
rnacentral:rRNA from 1 species